rnacentral:lncRNA from 1 species
UUAUAUUCUAGCAUCAAAUUCAUGCAUGAAAAUUAAGCGUGCACUCUUAAUCGACAUACACAAAUUAGUUAUCAAUCAAGCAGUUAAGCAAAUUAAAUCACAACUCAGAAAUCACAACUGAAGAUAAUCAAUUCAUAUUACAAAUAUAUUCAUGGCUUUGAAUUAACAUCUAGCCAAAAUAAAUUUAGUUACACAUUAUUAAAACAGAAAUAAAAUAUAAGUUUGGAAAUAUUUAACCGAGAGAGAGGAGAGUGCUUGCUGCUUCUGUCUGUCUGACUUCCCUUUCUGAUCCAGUCUGCCCUCUCUUGCCGUGCCUGCCCAUUGCCCCUGUCUCUCUGUUUUCCUGCGCCUCCUGCGCUCUCUGACCUCGCUGCCAAAGGGCAGCGUUCUUCCCCUCUGUCUUCCUGCUGCCGCAAGGCAGCUUUUGCUUCUCUCCCUCUUGCUUCUGUCCGUGUGGACUCCCCCCUUCUUUCCGCUAUCCCCUUCUCCACAUUGUUUCUUUCCUUUGUUUUUCUUUUAUUCCUUUUUUUCCUCUCUGCACUGCUGUCCACUUCCUCUUCUUUUCUUCUUUUAAUCCGUCAGUGCUCCACCUCUCUGACCUACUCUCCCUCUUAUUCUUCUUUCAUCUAUUUUUUAUUCCUUUCCUUUUUUUAUUCCUUUCUUUUCUUCUUCUCCAUCCGUUCCUUUCUUUUCUUCUACAAAACAAAACCAUCAUGAUGAAACAUCAUCAUGACUUAUCAUUAUUAUAUUUCUUUUUAAUUUAAUUUAAAAGUUGAUCUACACAGACAGUUUUGACGAAUUUAUUACAUAAAAUUUCACUUGUUGUUCUAUUUUUAUUUUCUUUGCAUAACAAAUCCUAUAAACACAAAAAAAUAACGUAAAUAGCUCAAAAAUAUAAAGAACUAACUAAGAAAAGACGAGUGAAUUUGAAGUAAAAAUAUAUAUAAAUAUGAUCCGAUCAAAUACCCCCAUACUUAGCUUUUGCUAGUCCUCGAGCAAAACAAAGAAAACAUGAAAAAGUACUAACAUGAAAAACAUUAGUUUCCCCCUAUGUGACCCUCAUAGAAUUUCAUUUGAGAACAUAAAUCAUCAAGAACCAUAGCUAGCACCAAACAAGUUAAUCCAAGUUCAUCUUCCUUAUUCAAAUAUUAGCAGUAAUCUUUGAAUCAUCCUUGAAGUGUAGUGUGUGAGAUAGCCAUGCUAAUGCAAUUUCAAGUUUUUAUUUUUAAAAUCAUCAUAUGCAAACUAGUAACCUUCUCACGGGAUAUACACUCAAUCACAUAUGUGUUUAGUUUUAAUGUGUUUCGCUCAAAGAAUCAAAUGUGAAAUUUCUACCAUAAGCUUGCAUAAAGAUCACUUCUCCACAGUCAUAAUUGCAAAACUUAAAUCAAGAGGACUUUUAUUGGAUGUAAUGAGGCUUAGGGAUAGGGUUAUUGAAACGAAAGAAUAGGAAAACACAAGUUCCAAGCUACAUUGCAAGCAAUUCUUUUCUUUAGAUUUAUAAGAACUCAAGCUCUCCAGCAAUUCUUCUAGCACCUCCAUCCACACCCUAAAACUGAAACUUUAAAAACUUUUUAUUUCAUUUGUAUACAAUCUUUCUUUUUCUUUUCUCUUUUUUUUUUUUAUUAUUAUUUUUUUAUAUACAAACAUGAAAUACCCCCACACUUAUUCUUUUGCCAAACACCUUCAAAGUACUUCACAAACGUUUCUCAUAAGAUAAUCUCGCAUUGCUCGCUUGGAAAGGGUAAGGAAAAAUGUUUCAGGUAUAAGGGUAGACAUAUCUGGUGAUAAGAAAUAAAAGGCUCAACAUACACGGCUCAAAUUGGCAAUCUAAUGAUAUCAUUUUUCUUUGGGAAACAUGGUUAUUUGGGCCAUGGUGGUAAACCUAAUGCCUCUAUCAUUUCCAAGUUCAUGCAAUCAAUGACAAACAUUUCGAAAGAUCGUUACGCAAGUUCUAGAGAUGUAUCUCACAUAAGUUCAUCACACAUGAAAGAAUAGGAGUGUAUGAAAAAUGCACACACUUUCAAUAGGCUCAAAAACUCACAUAAGAUGUAUAUGGUCACUAAAUUCACAUAUGAAGCUUUAAGUCAUACUUUAGUUUCACAUUAACAAGGCUAUGUGCAUUUGGUUUUUCAAAGAUGAUCAAACAUGUACAAAACUAACAAGAGAAUUAGGAAUUUCACAAAACACAUGUUAACUAAGUUCUUGAUGAUCAUGGUUUUCAAAUUUGAUCCAAUUAUAUCAUUGGGUCGGGAAACUAACAAAAAUCUAAUUCAAAACAAUAAGGGAAACAAGACAAUAUUUUUGGAUUUUUAAAUUUUCCGAUUUUUUUAUUUUUUUAUUUUUUAUUUUUUUUUAAAGAAAACAAAACUAAUUAAGAAAACAAAAAGCAACAACACAGAAACAAAUGAAACAAGUUCGUAGUUGAAGGUACAAAAAAUUUCAAUUUGGUCAUUUUUUAUACUCUUUACCCCCAAACUUAAACUGGACAUUGUCCCCAAUGUCAGAAAACACUAUAAUGCAAAUAAAAAUAAAAUAAAUAAAUAAUAAGAAACAAAAUAAAACAAUUGGACUGAAAACUUCCCUAAGUUGCAGUAAAAUCAAGCGAUGACCUCCAAGCUAAAAUUCUGCAAUCAACUUCAAGGGUGGAAAUAACCAAAGUUCCUGCAAAGAAAAGAAAUAAUUCAGUUAAGUAACACAAGAAAAUAUAAAAUAAAAAAAUUUGCAAACGAAAAAUUGAAAAUCACGAUAAAAGACAAUGAAUAUAACUAAUAAGUGAUCAUUGGUCGUGCUUGUUGACUUUCCACAGCUUUCCUCUUGAACAGGGUGACACUUAGCUUUUUACUUGCAAGUGAUGAUUUGAUGAUAUUGUACGGCGAAGCUUUGCUUUUUGGUGAUGUUGCAGUUCCUUAUUUGUUCUCCAAGCAGAUGUGGCAGCUUCUCUAGUUCUUCAGCUCGGACUCCUUGUGCUGAGUUGAUUGUACGAGCUGCAUUCUUCUCUGCUUGUUUCUUCUGCACAACGGGCAGGCACGAGGGAUAGGUGUUGGUCUGUUUCUUUCUUCAAUCUUUCCAAGUGCCCACCUCUUGCUCUCUUUCUCCUUGUCCCUAGCUGAAUUGUCUCCACAUGCUUCGAGGUAUCAUUUUCACUUCCCUUACUGUCCCCCAGGCAGAUGUGGUAGACGAAGAGAAAGCAUAAAAUGAUAAAGAUGAGUACUCGAGAGCAAGGCUAGGUAAGCAAUCAGGAAGGGGUUCCAGGCAGUUGGCUCCAGAUCGGAAGAUUGAUACCAAAUGCUGGCUGAUUGCUCUCUUUCUCCUUGUCGUAAAACAAAGACAAGAAAAAGGACAGGGAGAAAGCAUGAUAUGAGAUACUCUUGCUUUCAACCUUCAUGAUAUGAAAUACUUUUGCUUUGGAUGGGUUGUUUGCAGGGGUAUCCCAGGGGAUGAAAAAUACAGAGUGACUUGAGAGGGUUUGUUAGAAAGCCAUUUCAGAGAGGAAGAAGUGCUGAGAGGGUGUGCCUUUGCUGUGGAAGGCGAAGGUAGAUACUUAUAGGACUUUUCUUCACAACCGGAACUAUUCUCUCACUCAUUGUCGGCAGCCGGUGGAUGGAUGAAUAGUACGAAUUACGCGCUUUCUGACAAAGCUGCCCGUAAUUUCCGCAAAGCUGCCAGUUGCAUGUGACGAGUGACGACACGUCUGGACAAAUUGAUCUUUUGAAAUCCGGGGUUCGGCUCGUGGUUUCUGAGCAAGCCCAGCUUUUGAGAAAUGCAACGCCUCUUUUGAGAAAAGAAUCCGGCUUUUGAGAAAGGAGCCCCGACUCUUCGAUUUGCGAGAGGACGCUUCUCUGAGGAACGCCUCUCCGAUUUCUUCUUUUUAUAGAGGCGCUAAUUUUGUUCCACAACACACUUGAGCUCCCUCUUGUAAACACUCCCUCCUGUAAACUUCCAAAAUCUUAAUCAGUCCGACUCUCUUCUUUCUUCACCACCUUCAGAAAAUGUCUGGCCCGUCCAAUCGUCGUUUUGACUUGAACAUUGGUGAAGAGGCAGCUCCGCCUUCACCAGACAACAUAUGGCGCCCAUCUUUCAUAUCCCCUACCGGUCCUCUUACCGUUGGGGAUUCGAUGAUGAAAAAUGACAUGACCGCUGCGGUGGUGGCCCGGAACCUUGUCACUCCCAGAGAUAACAGACUGCUCGCUAGACGGUCUGAUGAAUUGGCGGUUAAGGAGUCUCUGGCUCUUAGCGUGCAGUGUGCGGGUUCUGUGUCCAACAUGGCCCAACGCCUAUUUGCUCGAACCUGUCACGUUGAAUCGUUGGUGGCUGAAAUACAGAGUCUCAAAGAGGAGAUUAGAGGACUCAAGCAUGAAAAUAAACAAUUGCAUAAGCUUGCACACAGUUAUGCCACAAACAUGAAGAGGAAAAUUGACCAGAUGCAGGACACUGAUGGUCAAAUUUUACUUGAUCAUCGGAGGUUUGUGGGUUUGUUCCAACAGCAUCUGCCUUCGUCUUCUGGGGCUGCACCGCGUAGUGAAGCUCCAACUGAUCAACCUCCGAUACCUCCUCCUUCCGUGGCCCCGCCGACUGCUGAAGCUCCGCCGACUACUGAAGCACCACCUGACCAAUGAAUGCUAUUAGUUUACACAUCAUUGUAAAAUAUUUUUACUUUAAUGUUUUUUUUUUAAGUGUUUUUUUAUUUUAUUUUAUUUUUUUUUAAUUUUUUUUAAAUAUGUAAAUUAAUGUAAAAAGACUUUGUUUAACCUUCCCCCACACUUAAACUACAAACUCACAGAAAAUCAACCAAAUAAACACAACCAACUAAACAAAACAAAAUGAAAGCAGUAAAAGAUAAGGGUGUAAGAAUGCAAAUCUGAUUUGGUUAGCGAUUCCAAAGUCUCCCUUCGUUGAAUGCUUGGGUUGCCUCCCAAGAAGCGCUUGAUUUAACGUCUUUAGCCGGACGAAUCUUUCCUUUAAACUCCCCUCGGCUCCAAAGCAUGGAAUUUAUCUUUUAAUGGGAGGUGAUACUUGAAAUGAUUCGGCAAUGAUUUAAAUUCAAGAGUGGGUGCCUGAAUCAUCAAAAUCAGAAAAAUGUUAGUAUAAAUAAAAAUUAAAAUUGGAGAAGAUAGCUUACUUUCUUUUUCUGACACAAACUCAAUGACAAACACCACAUCUUUGAACAUUUCUGGGAUUUUGAACUUGGCCAGGUUUACUAUGAUGGUUGUGGCUUGUCCCGGGUCAUCAAACUCAACUGCUUUGGGCUUGAUUGUCUCAUGCACAGCCCCUUGGAUGAAUUCUUGAUCUGCUUCAACCACUUCAUUCUCUUGAAUCUCUUUUCUUGGUGUGCAAGGUUCUUUGAACGUUUCAAUACCAUCGGGAACUUGUUUUGGUGCACUAAGAAUUGGGAUAUCACUUUGCACCUUUGGAAGAGCUUCCACAAUGUCUUUUUCACUCUCUUUGAUAUUUGGAAUCAAAAACCUACAAGGAAAAAGGACAUGAAGGAUGAAGCUGUCCCAGAACCAUCCAAACACAGCCCGAACAUGGAUGAAUUGCUGCUGCAAGCAGAAGAGGAGGAGGACGACCUGGGCAGUUUAGAAGAAUUCUUGCUGCAAGCUCCUCAAAUCCCUAUGUCAUCCAACUCAGGUGAGGAAGUUCUAAAUCCACUUCAUUCUAACAUUAUUCCACCAAAGUGAUAGCAUCGUGGAUUUCAAAAUCUUCCUUCGAAUUUUCAACAGUUGAGCUGGAGAGUUCACUUUGCUCUUGAAUUUGUACCAUGAAUUCCAUAAUCUCUCCCAUUUGACUCAUCAAUUUAUCCAACUUCUUGUCUUGAUUUUGUUGGUCCUGCGUCAAAGAGGUUAGUACUUGAAGAAUUUGAUCACUAUCCAUGGACAUACUUGAAUUUGAUUGGAAUUGUUGUGGGGUAUGCGGUGGUGGCUGCAUAGGCGUUAAAUAAAACUCCUCAGAUUGCUGCCAAUAUCCAUCUUGUUGAGCCUCCUUGGCUUGAUUUUGUGAGCCCUGCACCAAAGAAUUUAAUUCAUCAAAAAUUUGAUUGUAAUCUAUUGACGAACCUGAGUUUGAUUGAGCAUAUUGCAUAGGUUUUGAAUAGAACUCCUCCUCUUGCUGCCAAUAUCCAUCUUGUUGGAAUUGUUGAGGUUCCCCCCACAUAUAAUUUGAAUGAUCUCUCCAAGCCGAAUUGUAAGCGUUGGAAAACAUGUUGUUGCUUGGUUGAUCAUAGCCUUGAUAACCCCAAGCAUCUUCGUUCACAGUGAAUUGAUGAUGUUGAUAUCCUUGCCCAUAGGGCACAUCAAAUGUAGGGACACUUGGCAUUGUGGUCCGUUCGGCAUUAUGAGUCAAUUAAGCAGUGAGCUGUGCCAAUUGAGCUUGAAUGGUCGCAAGUGCCAUGUCUUGCUCCAUUUGUACCUAAAAUCAAAGAAAGAAAAAUAAAUCAAAUAUCAAAAGUAAAAUACACAAACACCAAUAUAAACAUAAACAAAAACAAAAAUAAAGGGAUUAGCAAAGUUGCUAAUCCCCGGCAACGGCGCCAAAAUUUGAUGCGAGAAUUUUACUUGACACACAAAUUAAACCCUCUUUUUGACAAUUGUAGUAUAGAUAUAAGUAGGGUAUCGUUCUAGGCCGGGGAUUAGGAGGGAUUGCUAAUCUACUCUAAAUUAAUUAAAAAUAUUAAACAAGACUCAAGGACACAAAAUUAGGCUAAAAACUCUAAUAACUCGAAACACACUUAAAAUGACUCAAAAUAAUGAAAACAAUCAAAUUAGACACUAGGAACUGAAAUGGACGGAAAUUGAAUUAAAAGACUAACAACAAUGAACACUAACUAAAUAAUAUAAUUUAAUAAUGGGGGGUGUUUGGUUUUUUACGAGAAGUAAAUUAAACUUAAAUAAAUUACAGAAUUGACAAAAGCAUGAAUUGAGGUGAAAGGAUAGGUGAUGGAUUAGCUAGAGGGUUCUUCUUUACACAUGACACAUAUGCAACCUAAAUUGAUUUUCAGUUGUUCUUUCAAUAAAUUGUAAAUCUCAACGCCCCAAAUUAACCGUGAAUUGCACUAAUUAACCCUCAGUUUUUCCACAAGUUAUUGGGUUGGAUGAUUGCAUACGACAACCCAAAACAUUCCCUACAAGUUCCCUACAUGAAUUGCAUAAUAGAGAUACAAGCAAGAAUCAUUAACUUCUAUGAAAAACAUAAGCAUUGACGAGGCACUCGUUACUAUGAUUUGCAUGAAACUUAUGCCAAGAAUUUACUUAACGUGAUUGUGACUAGCAACCUUCACUACUUGUGAAUAUAAGUUCAUAACGAUUAGGUGAAACUCCCUUAUAUUCUAGCAUCAAAUUCAUGCAUGAAAAUUAAGCGUGCACUCUUAAUCGACAUACACAAAUUAGUUAUCAAUCAAGCAGUUAAGCAAAUUAAAUCACAACUCAGAAAUCACAACUGAAGGUAAUCAAUUCAUAUUACAAAUAUAUUCAUGGCUUUGAAUUAACCUCUAGCCAAAAUAAAUUUAGUUACACAUUAUUAAAACAGAAAUAAAAUAUAAGUUUGGAAAUAUUUAACCGAGAGAGAGGAGAGUGCUUGCUGCUUCUGUCUGUCUGACUUCCCUUUCUGAUCCAGUCUGCCCUCUCUUGCCGUGCCUGCCCAUUGCCCCUGUCUCUCUGUUUUCCUGCGCCUCCUGCGCUCUCUGACCUUGCUGCCAAAGGGCAGCGUUCUUCCCCUCUGUCUUCCUGCUGCCGCAAGGCAGCUUUUGCUUCUCUCCCUCUUGCUUCUGUCCGUGUGGACUCCCCCCUUCUUUCCGCUAUCCCCUUCUCCACAUUGUUUCUUUCCUUUGUUUUUCUUUUAUUCCUUUUUUUCCUCUCUGCACUGCUGUCCACUUCCUCUUCUUUUCUUCUUUUAAUCCGUCAGUGCUCCACCUCUCUGACCUACUCUCCCUCUUAUUCUUCUUUCAUCUAUUUUUUAUUCCUUUUUU